rnacentral:rRNA from 1 species
GGGUCAGUAGGUUGGUCGUGCCACCGGUACGUACUGGUCUCACUGAUUCCCCCUUCCUGAAGAACCGUAAUGCCAUUAAUUUGGUGUUGCGGGGAAACAGGACUGUUACUUUGAAAAAAUUAGAGUGUUUAAAGCAGGCUAACGCUUGAAUACAUUAGCAUGGAAUAAUGAAAUAGGACGAUCGAUCCUAUUUUGUUGGUUUCUAGGAUUGACGUA